UCCGCUCCUAUAUCGGCGAUGAGGUAAACAAACGUCUGAGGUAGGAGAUCUGUUUAAUCAAAGGUUCAAUCUUCCUUGGUGUUUAAAUCCUUCUCUCUUUUGGUUUGUUCUCUUUUCACCAAGUUAUUGCUUGUAUCCCAUCAAUUGUUGUCGAUUGCUGGUGGUUGUCAAAGAAGAAGGGUGGUUGUAGGGGUGGUCUUGAAGCUACUAGUGAUGGAUGUUUAGUCUUUGAAGCUAGUUCACGGUGGGUCUUCACUGAAAAAGCUCAUAGUGGGUCUUCCCUAGUGGUGAAGGCGUUGAUUCCUGGUCAGGUUUUGGUCGAAACAAGGUAGCGCUUUUUUCUGUGGUGGCGAUGCCUCUUUUUAUGGCCAGAAGGUGAAGAACUAGCAGUAAGAAGUGACGCCGUCAAUAAUGAGAAACAUGAAGUGGGUUAGAUCAUGUGCGGUCGAUUGUAUGGUAUUGAUGUGAACUCACAUUACUUGACAAUCCAGAUCAUUUAAUAUCUGAUCUAACAAUCACGAUCAAAUUGACCUUAAAUUAAUCUGAUAGCCAUGACUUCUUGGGUAUUGACCAUAUAUCACCCAAGCUAUCGCAAAUCUGUGAGCCUGUUUUUAGUAGACGGCAUGAUCGUUUUUUAUAUGAUCAACGGUCUGGAUCUAAUCAAACAAAAAUAAUCAAUGGCCCUGAUAUGUUAGAUCUUUGAUUUAAUAAUUUGUUAUAAUGUAAUUAUAGGCAUCCCGUUAUAAACUCUAUCAUCUAGAACAUCUCACAACCAAUCUCCAGUACCAUAAGUAAGUUUACAUCUUUCAAAUCCUACCUAUGAUAAAUGGGAAUCUUCUUCAAUUUAAAGUACAAUUCCAA
rnacentral:lncRNA from 1 species